rnacentral:rRNA from 1 species
AGAGUUUGAGUUAUGGCUCAGGAUGAACGCUAGCUACAGGCUUAACACAUGCAAGUCGAGGGGUAGCAGGGUAGCAAUACCGCUGACGACCGGCGCACGGGUGAGUAACACGUAUCCAACCUUCCCAUAACUCAGGGAUAGCCUUUCGAAAGAAAGAUUAAUACCUGAUAGUACUUUUUCAAGGCAUCUUGAGAAGUUAAAGAUUUAUUGGUUAUGGAUGGGGAUGCGUUCCAUUAGAUAGUUGGUGAGGUAACGGCUCACCAAGUCUUCGAUGGAUAGGGGUUCUGAGAGGAAGGUCCCCCACAUUGGUACUGAGACACGGACCAAACUCCUACGGGAGGCAGCAGUGAGGAAUAUUGGUCAAUGGGCGAGAGCCUGAACCAGCCAAGUAGCGUGAAGGAUGAAGGUCCUAUGGAUUGUAAACUUCUUUUAUAGUAGAAUAAAGUGAUCCACGUGUGGAUUUUUGUAUGUAUACUAUGAAUAAGGAUCGGCUAACUCCGUGCCAGCCGCAGC